GGCUGAGAUGGCUCAGUUGGCAAAACAUGAGACUCUUAAUCUCAAGGUCAUGGGUUCAAGCCCCUGUUGGGCA